rnacentral:rRNA from 1 species
AGAGUUUGAUCCUGGCUCAGAUUGAACGCUGGCGACGUGCUUAACACAUGCAAGUCGUGCGAGAAAGGAGACUUCGGUCUCUGAGUAGAGCGGCGCACGGGUGAGUAACGCGUGGAUGAUCUACCCUUGAGUUCGGGAUAACGGUGCGAAAGCGCCGCUAAUACCGUAUAACAAUCCAUUUCAUCGUGGGUUCAAAGCAGGCCUCUUCAUGAAAGCUUGCGCUUGGGGAUGAGUCCGCGUCCCAUUAGCUUGUUGGCGGGGUAACGGCCCACCAAGGCUACGAUGGGUAGCUGGUCUGAGAGGAUGAUCAGCCACACUGGAACUGAAACACGGUCCAGGCUCCUACGGGAGGCAGCAGUGGGGAAUAUUGCGCAAUGGGGGAAACCCUGACGCAGCGACGUCGUGUGAGGGAAGAAGGCCUUCGGG